UUGAACGCUGGCGGCAUGCCUUACACAUGCAAGUCGAACGGUAACAGGUCUUCGGAUGCUGACGAGUGGCGAACGGGUGAGUAAUACAUCGGAACGUGCCCGAUCGUGGGGGAUAACGCAGCGAAAGCUGUGCUAAUACCGCAUACGAUCUACGGAUGAAAGCAGGGGACCGUAAGGCCUCGCGCGAUGGGAGCGGCCGAUAUCGGAUUAGCUAGUUGGUGAGGUAAAGGCUCACCAAGGCGACGAUCCGUAGCUGGUCUGAGAGGACGACCAGCCACACUGGAACUGAGACACGGUCCAGACUCCUACGGGAGGCAGCAGUGGGGAAUUUUGGACAAUGGGGGCAACCCUGAUCCAGCCAUUCCGCGUGAGUGAAGAAGGCCUUCGGGUUGUAAAGCUCUUUCGGCAGGAACGAAACGGUGGUCCUUAAUACGGGCUACUAAUGACGGUACCUGAAGAAGAAGCACCGGCUAACUACGU
rnacentral:rRNA from 1 species